rnacentral:rRNA from 1 species
GAUGAACGCUGGCGGCGUGCCUAAUACAUGCAAGUCGAGCGAACAGACGAGGAGCUUGCUCCUCUGACGUUAGCGGCGGACGGGUGAGUAACACGUGGAUAACCUACCUAUAAGACUGGGAUAACUUCGGGAAACCGGAGCUAAUACCGGAUAAUAUAUUGAACCGCAUGGUUCAAUAGUGAAAGACGGUUUUGCUGUCACUUAUAGAUGGAUCCGCGCCGCAUUAGCUAGUUGGUAAGGUAACGGCUUACCAAGGCAACGAUGCGUAGCCGACCUGAGAGGGUGAUCGGCAACACUGGAACUGAGACACGGUCCAGACUCCUACGGGAGGCAGCAGUAGGGAAUCUGCCGCAAUGGGCGAAAGCCUGACGGAGCAACGCCGCGUGAGUGAUGAAGGUCUUCGGAUCGUAAAACUCUGUUAUUAGGGAAGAACAAAUGUGUAAGUAACUAUGCACGUCUUGACGGUACCUAAUCAGAAAGCCACGGCUAACUACGUG